GACAGAGGUGCCAAGCGUUAGGCGGAAUCACUGGGCCUAAAGCGUGUGUAGGCGGGUCGUUAAGUACCUUGUGAAAUCCCCCGGCUCAACCGGGGAACGGCUGGGUAUACUGGCGAUCUUGAGCCACCUAGGGGCAGUCGGAACAAGUGGUGGAGCGGUGAAAUGCGUAGAGAUCCGGAAGAACACCGGUGGCGAAGGCGGUCUGCUGGGCAGUUGGCUGACACUGAGGCGCGACAGCGUGGGGAGCAAACAGGAUUGAGAUAC
rnacentral:rRNA from 1 species